UACGGAGGGGGCUAGCGUUUGUUCGGAAGUUACUGGGCGUAAAGCGCACGUAGGCGGCUUUGUAAGUUAGAGGUGAAAGCCCAGGGCUUAACCCUGGAAUUGCCUUUAAGACUGCAUCGCUAGAAUCGUGGAGAGGUGAGUGGAAUUCCGAGUGUAGAGGUGAAAUUCGUAGAUAUUCGGAAGAACACCAGUGGCGAAGGCGACUCACUGGACACGUAUUGACGCUGAGGUGCGAAAGC
rnacentral:rRNA from 1 species